rnacentral:lncRNA from 1 species
UAGUACAGAACUGCGUCUAAGUUUUAUCCUUUCCAAUACGCAUGGUGAAGGCAUUGAAAGAUCUAGGUAACUUCAGCCAUGCAGACAGUUCAUUGUAACAGUAAUAGACCUUCUAGUUUCAACUACUUCAGACUCAACCUACCUGUUUGCUUUACUGUCGGAAACUUUUUUCUAGCUUUGUUCAGAAAAUUGUGACAUAUAUGUUAAUAUAUUCAAAAAGGAGGAUUUAAGACAGGAAAAGGCGGGUGGACCUAAGGGUAAGUGGGCCAAGCCAAUUAUCUGGGCAUUAUUAGUAUUAGUUGAGAGCUGGCCAUGUAAUAAGCUAUUAAUAGUUAGUUAGAUUGUUAUAAAUAGAGAGGAAAGGAAGGUUGAGAAGGGGACAGUUAGUUGGUUGGUUAUUAAUUGUGGGAGGAAGAAGGUGCGUCAAUAGUAGCCAUAAGUGCCUGACAGAUAAAAGUAAAACUAAAAGUAAAACUCUUCUUAUAAUGGAAAUUCACCUGGAGGAAGAAGGUGCGUCAAUAGUAGCCAUAAGUGCCUGACAGAUAUCAUCGACAUGAACUCUGGACGUAUAUUUUCGGUGUUUUCUCCUCUUCUGACCUU